AUUGAACGCUGGCGGCAGGCCUAACACAUGCAAGUCGAGCGGAUGAAGGGAGCUUGCUCCUGGAUUCAGCGGCGGACGGGUGAGUAAUGCCUAGGAAUCUGCUUGGUAGUGGGGGAUAACGUCCGGAAACGGGCGCUAAUACCGCAUACGUCCUGAGGGAGAAAGUGGGGGAUCUUCGGACAUCACGCUAUCAGAUGAGCCUAGGUCGGAUUAGCUAGUUGGUGGGGUAAAGGCCUACCAAGGCGACGAUCCGUAACUGGUCUGAGAGGAUGAUCAGUCACACUGGAACUUAGACACGGUCCAGACUCCUACGGGAGGCAGCAGUGGGGAAUAUUGGACAAUGGGCGAAAGCCUGAUCCAGCCAUGCCGCGUGUGUGAAGAAGGUCUUCGGAUUGUAAAGCACUUUAAGUUGGGAGGAAGGGCAGUAAGUUAAUACCUUGCUGUUUUGACGUUACCAACAGAAUAAGCACCGGCUAACUUCGUG
rnacentral:rRNA from 1 species